rnacentral:tRNA from 1 species
ACCUUCGUGGUGUAGUGGUCAGCACGCUGGGCGCGUAUUCCAGAGGUCCGUGGUUCGAGUCCCGACGAAGGCG